rnacentral:misc_RNA from 1 species
UCUGAGGAGGUUAUAGGGAUUAGGAA